rnacentral:rRNA from 1 species
CAGCAGCCACGGUAAUACGUAGGUGGCAAGCGUUGUCCGGAAUUAUUGGGCGUAAAGGGCUCGCAGGCGGUUUCUUAAGUCUGAUGUGAAAGCCCCCGGCUCAACCGGGGAGGGUCAUUGGAAACUGGGAAACUUGAGUGCAGAAGAGGAGAGUGGAAUUCCACGUGUAGCGGUGAAAUGCGUAGAGAUGUGGAGGAACACCAGUGGCGAAGGCGACUCUCUGGUCUGUAACUGACGCUGAGGAGUGAAAGCGUGGGGAGCGAACAGGAUUAGAUACCCCAGUAGUCCCUGUCUCUUAUAC